CAAGUUAUUAAGGGUGCAGGGCGGAUGCCUUGGCACUAGGAGCCGAUGAAGGACGUGAUAAGCUGCGAUAAGCUUCGGGGAGUUGCACGUAAACUUUGAUCCGAAGAUUUCCGAAUGAGGAAACUCACUUAGAGUAAUGUCUAAGUAUCAUUAAGUGAAUACAUAGCUUAAUGAGGGGAACUCAGGGAACUGAAACAUCUAAGUACCUGAAGGAAGAGAAAGAAAUUCGAUUCCGUAAGUAGCGGCGAGCGAACGCGGAUUAGCCCAAACCAAUAAAGUUUUCUUUAUUGGGGUUGCGGACAUAUCAUAACGAAGAGGUAUCGUAAUUGAAGAGGUUUGGAAAGACCCACCA
rnacentral:rRNA from 1 species